GAAGAGAGAGGGAAGGAGGUAGGUCUGAAAAUCAACCAAGGGAAAGAGAAAGAAGAGAAGAAAAAGAAGAGUGUGGACCUGGAAAUCAGACAGGGUUUCUCUGUGCAGUCCUGGCUGUCCUGGAACUCAUUCUGUAGACCAGGCUGGCCUCGAACUCAGAAAACCACCUCUGCCUUUCAAGUGCUGAAAUUACAGGCGUGCACCACCACUGCCCGGCCUCAACUGCAGAUUUCUUAUUGCCUUAGUGACGAGGGGUGGGGCUGUCUUAAAAAUCUCCUAUCCACUUCCAGCCUUUGUAAAGAGUCCGUGUUGGGAUACCUCCGAAACCUCGGAAACCUAACCAGUUAGGAAGCAUAUGUGUACCGCGGGUGGUUGAGUUGUCUCCCUUCACACCGGAAGCGGGAGCAGGAUCCCUCUCUCCCGCCUCUGUCUCACGGUGCGGUGUCUAACAGAGACGCACCCUAGGAGAGCGUCACGUCUCCAUAGCAACCGGUGAUCCAAGCGCUGAGGCCGGACCGGCGGGGCGGGGCCAGGCGG
rnacentral:lncRNA from 1 species